rnacentral:misc_RNA from 1 species
UUGUAGCAUGAUUGUGUCCUUU